rnacentral:rRNA from 1 species
AGCGAACGCUGGCGGCAGGCCUAACACAUGCAAGUCGAGCGCCGUAGCAAUACGGAGCGGCAGACGGGAGAGUAACACGUGGGAACGUACCCUUUGGUUCGGAACAACCCAGGGAAACUUGGGCUAAUACCGGAUAAGCCCUCACGGGGAAAGAUUCAUCGCCGAAGGAUCGGCCCGCGUCUGAUUAGCUAGUUGGUGGGGUAAUGGCCCACCAAGGCGACGAUCAGUAGCUGGUCUGAGAGGAUGAUCAGCCUCACUGGGACUGAGACACGGCCCAGACUCCUACGGGAGGCAGCAGUGGGGAAUAUUGGACAAUGGGCGCAAGCCUGAUCCAGCCAUGCCGCGUGGGUGAUGAAGGCCUUAGGGUUGUAAAGCCCUUUCGGCGGGGAAGAUAAUGACGGUACCCGCAGAAGAAGCCCCGGCUAACUUCGUGCCAGCCGCCGCAGUAAUAC